rnacentral:rRNA from 1 species
GUGGGGAAUAUUGGGCAAUGGGGGCAACCCUGACCCAGCGACGCCGCGUGAGGGAAGAAGGCCUUAGGGUCGUAAACCUCUGUUGUGUGGGAAGAAGGAAGUGACGGUACCACACGAGGAAGUCCCGGCUAACUACGUGCCAGCAGCCGCGGUAAUACGUAGGGGACGAGCGUUGUCCGGAAUUACUGGGCGUAAAGGGCGCGUAGGCGGUCAUUUAAGUCAGCUGUGAAAUGGUCCGGCUCAACCGGAUCAUGCGGUUGAAACUGGAUGACUGGAGUGCUGGAGAGGCAAGUGGAAUUCCCAGUGUAGCGGUGAAAUGCGUAGAUAUGGGGAGGAACACCAGUGGCGAAGGCGGCUUUCUGGACGGUGUCUGACACUGAGGCGCGAAAGCUAGGGGAGCGAACGGGAUUAGAUACCCUAGUAGUCC